GCGCCCGUAGCUCAAUUGGAUAGAGCGUCUGGCUACGAACCAGGAGGUUGUAGGUUCAAAUCCUUCCGGGCGUA
rnacentral:tRNA from 2 species